rnacentral:rRNA from 1 species
UCCUGGCUGUAAACGCUGCAGACUUGGUGCUGGGAAUCCUACGUGGAUGCCCAGUGCCGUAGAGAAGUUGUUAAGUCUGCCGCUUGGGGAGUACGGUCGCAAGACUGAAACUUAAAGGAAUUGGCGGGAGAGCACAGCAACGGGAGGAGCGUGCGGUUUAAUUGGAUCCAACGCCGGAAAACUCACCGGGGGCGACCGGCACGUGUGGGUCAGGUUGAAGACCUUACCUGAAU